UACGGAGGGUGCAAGCGUUAUCCGGAUUCACUGGGUUUAAAGGUGCGUAGGUGGGUUGGUAAGUCAGUGGUGAAAUCCCCGAGCUUAACUUGGGAACUGCCAUUGAUACUAUUAAUCUUGAAUACCGUGGAGGUCGGCGGAAUAUGUCAUGUAGCGGUGAAAUGCUUAGAUAUGACAUAGAACACCAAUUGCGAAGGCAGCUGGCUACACGAGUAUUGACACUGAGGCACGAAAGCGUGGGGAUCAAACAGG
rnacentral:rRNA from 1 species